GACGAAGGUGGCAAGCGUUAUUCGGAUUUACUGGGCAUAAAGCGCGCGUAGGCGGCUUGGCAAGUCGGGUGUGAAAGCCCGCAGCUCAACUGCGGAACUGCCUUCGAUACUGCCGGGCUUGAGGGCGGGAGGGGUGAUUGGAACUCCAGGUGUAGCGGUGAAAUGCGUAGAUAUCUGGAGGAACACCGGAGGCGAAGGCGAAUCACUGGACCGCUUCUGACGCUGAGGCGCGAAAGCUAGGGGAGCAAACAGG
rnacentral:rRNA from 1 species